GACGAACGCUGGCGGCGUGCUUAACACAUGCAAGUCGAACGAAGAGCGAUGGAAGCUUGCUUCUAUCAAUCUUAGUGGCGAACGGGUGAGUAACGCGUAAUCAACCUGCCCUUCAGAGGGGGACAACAGUUGGAAACGACUGCUAAUACCGCAUACGAUCCAAUCUCGGCAUCGGGACUGGAUGAAAGGUGGCCUCUAUUUAUAAGCUAUCACUGAAGGAGGGGAUUGCGUCUGAUUAGCUAGUUGGAGGGGUAACGGCCCACCAAGGCGAUGAUCAGUAGCCGGUCUGAGAGGAUGAACGGCCACAUUGGGACUGGGACACGGCCCAGACUCCUACGGGAGGCAGCAGUGGGGAAUCUUCCGCAAUGGACGAAAGUCUGACGGAGCAACGCCGCGUGAGUGAUGACGGCCUUCGGGUUGUAAAGCUCUGUUAAUCGGGACGAAUGGUUCUUGUGCGAAUAGUGCGAGGAUUUGACGGUACCGGAAUAGAAAGCCACGGCUAACUACGUG
rnacentral:rRNA from 1 species